rnacentral:rRNA from 1 species
AACGAACGCUGGCGGCAGGCUUAACACAUGCAAGUCGGACGCCCCGCAAGGGGAGUGGCAGACGGGUGAGUAACACGUGGGAACGUACCCUUUGGUUCGGAAUAACUUGGGGAAACUCAAGCUAAUACCGGAUAAGCCCUUAUGGGGAAAGGUUUACUGCCGAAGGAUCGGCCCGCGUCUGAUUAGCUAGUUGGUGAGGUAACGGCUCACCAAGGCGACGAUCAGUAGCUGGUCUGAGAGGAUGAUCAGCCACACUGGGACUGAGACACGGCCCAGACUCAUACGGGAGGCAGUAGUGGGGAAUAUUGGACAAUGGGGGCAACCCUGAUCCAGCCAUGCCGCGUGAGUGAUGAAGGCCUUAGGGUUGUAAAGCUCUUUUACCCGGGACGAUAAUGACUGUACCGGGAGAAUAAGCCCCGGCUAACUUCGUGCCAGCAGCCGCAGUAA